rnacentral:rRNA from 1 species
AGAGUUUGAUCAUGGCUCAGGACGAACGCUGGCGGCGUGCCUAAUACAUGCAAGUCGAACGCUUCUUUCCUCCCGAGUGCUUGCACUCAAUUGGAAAGAGGAGUGGCGGACGGGUGAGUAACACGUGGGUAACCUACCCAUCAGAGGGGGAUAACACUUGGAAACAGGUGCUAAUACCGCAUAACAGUUUAUGCCGCAUGGCAUAAGAGUGAAAGGCGCUUUCGGGUGUCGCUGAUGGAUGGACCCGCGGUGCAUUAGCUAGUUGGUGAGGUAACGGCUCACCAAGGCCACGAUGCAUAGCCGACCUGAGAGGGUGAUCGGCCACACUGGGACUGAGACACGGCCCAGACUCCUACGGGAGGCAGCAGUAGGGAAUCUUCGGCAAUGGACGAAAGUCUGACCGAGCAACGCCGCGUGAGUGAAGAAGGUUUUCGGAUCGUAAAACUCUGUUGUUAGAGAAGAACAAGGACGUUAGUAACUGAACGUCCCCUGACGGUAUCUAACCAGAAAGCCACGGCUAACUACGUGCCAGCAGCCGCGGUAAUACGUAGGUGGCAAGCGUUGUCCGGAUUUAUUGGGCGUAAAGCGAGCGCAGGCGGUUUCUUAAGUCUGAUGUGAAAGCCCCCGGCUCAACCGGGGAGGGUCAUUGGAAACUGGGAGACUUGAGUGCAGAAGAGGAGAGUGGAAUUCCAUGUGUAGCGGUGAAAUGCGUAGAUAUAUGGAGGAACACCAGUGGCGAAGGCGGCUCUCUGGUCUGUAACUGACGCUGAGGCUCGAAAGCGUGGGGAGCAAACAGGAUUAGAUACCCUGGUAGUCCACGCCGUAAACGAUGAGUGCUAAGUGUUGGAGGGUUUCCGCCCUUCAGUGCUGCAGCAAACGCAUUAAGCACUCCGCCUGGGGAGUACGACCGCAAGGUUGAAACUCAAAGGAAUUGACGGGGGCCCGCACAAGCGGUGGAGCAUGUGGCUUAAUUCGAAGCAACGCGAAUAACCUUACCAGGUCUUGACAUCCUUUGACCACUCUAGAGAUAGAGCUUUCCCUUCGGGGACAAAGUGACAGGUGGUGCAUGGUUGUCGUCAGCUCGUGUCGUGAGAUGUUGGGUUAAGUCCCGCAACGAGCGCAACCCUUAUUGUUAGUUGCCAUCAUUUAGUUGGGCACUCUAGCGAGACUGCCGGUGACAAACCGGAGGAAGGUGGGGAUGACGUCAAAUCAUCAUGCCCCUUAUGACCUGGGCUACACACGUGCUACAAUGGGAAGUACAACGAGUCGCUAGACCGCGAGGUCAUGCAAAUCUCUUAAAGCUUCUCUCAGUUCGGAUUGCAGGCUGCAACUCGCCUGCAUGAAACCGGAAUCGCUAGUAAUCGCGGAUCAGCACGCCGCGGUGAAUACGUUCCCGGGCCUUGUAGA